CCUACGGGUGGCAGCAGUGGGGAAUAUUGGACAAUGGGCGAAAGCCUGAUCCAGCCAUGCCGCAUGUGUGAAGAAGGCCUUCGGGUUGUAAAGCACUUUCAGUGGGGAAGAAAGCCUUGGGGCUAAUACCCUCGAGGAAGGACAUCACCCACAGAAGAAGCACCGGCUAACUCCGUGCCAGCAGCCGCGGUAAUACGGAGGGUGCGAGCGUUAAUCGGAAUUACUGGGCGUAAAGCGCGCGUAGGCGGUCUGAUAAGCCGGUUGUGAAAGCCCCGGGCUCAACCUGGGAACGGCAUCCGGAACUGUCAGGCUAGAGUGCAGGAGAGGAAGGUAGAAUUCCCGGUGUAGCGGUGAAAUGCGUAGAGAUCGGGAGGAAUACCAGUGGCGAAGGCGGCCUUCUGGACUGACACUGACGCUGAGGUGCGAAAGCGUGGGUAGCAAACAGGAUUAGAUACCCUUGUAGUC
rnacentral:rRNA from 1 species